GCACUAAUAUAAAUUAUUGUAGAGUUAAAUAAGAGAGUUUUAUUAGUUGAAGGGAGUUGUUAUUUAUUGUGUUGAGCUUUGAACUCAAUUCUAGUCUAGAGUAUUGAGUUAUAUUGUGUAGGCUGUUGUAUCCUGGAAGGGACAAGUCAAAGAGUAUUACUGCUGGAUUGGUGAAAUAAUUUCUGCAGUGGGCUUGAAUCUCCUUAAAGAGAGAGGCCUCAGCCAUAGAAGAAGAAUAUAUUUUUCUUUAUUCAUUGUAAUUUUCAGUUGUAAUCAAUUGUAAUAUCACUACAAUUUUAUUGAGAUUUUCACCAACAAUUUUUAAGGAGAUUCAAAUGGCAAUAACUGAAAAUUUCGCAGAUGUCAAGAUGGGAGAUCUUAACAAGCCAUUCUGGUUCAACGGUACUCACUUCAAGAGGUGGAAGGGUAAAGUGUUUUUCUAAUUAAGUCUUCCCAAUGUUUUUCUGCGUUAACUGAGGAAGAAUCCAAAUAAAGUAGAUAACUCUUCCAUGACUGACGACGAACUUAUCUCUCUUGAAGAGAAAGUUGAAAAAUACAACAGUGACUCCUACAAAUGUCGUUAUUUUUUACUUAAUUGUCUAUCUGAUAAUUUUUAUGAUUAUUAUGAUAGAACUUACUCUAGUGCAAAGAAAAUUUGAAAAGUCUUGCAGAAUAAGUAUGACACUGAGGAGAUAGGAGUGAAGGAUAUGCAGCUAGGGGACAAGAUGCUCUUAUGCAAACAGAAGAGAACAAAAUCACACCGAAGGUAAAUUUAUCUUCAUAUAAUGCUACCCCUGAAAAUAACAAAAAUACUACUUUGAAGACUAAGAAGAAAAUAUUCAAGAAAAAUAAUGGUAGACAUCCCAAAAAUAAUUAUGGUGGGAACAACCAAGCAAAAAAUCAACAUGUACAACAAAAAAAAUCAUGUUUUGUCUGUGGCAAGAGUGGGCAUAUUGCUCGAUUUUGCAGGUCUCGGAAACAUGAGCAUACACCUCAGGCAAACAUUACCGAAGAAUCAUUUAUGGCGAUGAUAACAGACAUAUAUAUGGUCGUGAAUGUUGAUGGAUGGUGGACUAACUCUGGUGCAAACCGUCAUGUCUGUUACGACAAAGACUGGUUUAAAAAAUAUACAAAAUUUGAGGAGCCCAAAAUCAUCAUGCUUGAAAAUUCACACACAAGCCAAGCACUUGGAAUGGGGAUGUGGAGUUGAGAUUUACUUCUGAAAAGAUCCGUUGACUAAGGCCUUAGCAAGAGAAAAGUUCUGGAAUGCAUCGAGGGGGAUGGGAUUGAAGCCUAUUAAAUCAUUAGUUAUAUGUGAGGAAACUCAACCUGGGGACUAGAGAUCCUAUAACCAGGUUCAAUGGAAAAAACGAAUCAUCUGAUGACUUGCUGUGAAAAAUGCACUAUUUAUUUAUCCCUCCCUAUAAUGUGAGUGCAUUUGUCUGUAAUGAUUGUGAGGUUGAGUUUAUUAAACUCUUAAUGAA